GCCUGCGGAAUAGCUCAGCCGGUAGAGUAAGAGACUAUUAAUCUCAGGGUCAUAGGUUUGAGCCCCAUGCUGGGCA